rnacentral:rRNA from 1 species
AUUGAACGCUGGCGGCAUGCCUUACACAUGCAAGUCGAACGGUAACAGGUCUUCGGAUGCUGACGAGUGGCGAACGGGUGAGUAAUACAUCGGAACGUGCCCGAUCGUGGGGGAUAACGAAGCGAAAGCUUUGCUAAUACCGCAUACGAUCUACGGAUGAAAUCCGGGGACCGCAAGGCCUUGCGCGAACGGAGCGGCCGAUGGCAGAUUAGGUAGUUGGUGGGAUAAAAGCUUACCAAGCCGACGAUCUGUAGCUGGUCUGAGAGGACGACCAGCCACACUGGGACUGAGACACGGCCCAGACGCCUACGGGAGGCAGCAGUGGGGAAUGUUGGACAAUGGGCGAAAGCCUGAUCCAGCCAUGCCGCGUGCAGGAUGAAGGCCUUCGGGUUGUAAACUGCUUUUGUACGGAACGAAAAGACUCUGGUUAAUACCUGGGGUCCAUGACGGUACCGGAAGAAUAAGCACCGGCUAACUACGUG